rnacentral:rRNA from 1 species
ACAUACGACCAUAGAUGGUAGAAAACUCGGGAUCCCGUCCGCUCUCCCAUAGAUAAGCUACCAAUCGCCUGACUAGUAGUUGGGUC